rnacentral:tRNA from 1 species
GGUCAUAGGUCAGUGGUAGAACAUCUGCUUGGCAUGCAGAAGGUCCCAAAUUCAAUCCCCGGCAUCUCCA